rnacentral:lncRNA from 1 species
UAAUGUCAAGUGAAGUAACCUUGAAAAUGUCCAAUUACAAGCUUUUUAUAGCCCUAAGAUGACUAAUCAGAUUCAGCAUAAAAGGGUUCACACUAGCCUUAAACAUGUUCACACAAAAGCAUUAAAAUACUGUUCAUGAAUGUGGUAGAUCCAUGCACCAGCCGAUUAGUCACUUUCAUCCCCCUUGGUGCGUGCAUGCAUUCUUAGCUAUGAAGCUUUCUUUAAAUUCCAUGAAUGUUCAGCCUUUAAUUCAUAAACAUCCUCCUUGGCCGAAUGUCUCUUGCAUGAACCAUGCAUUUCCCUUAAUUGACAGUUUGCAUCUAGCUGAUUCAGUCCCCCUUCUUUCGAUGCAUGAAUGUGUUGGUACAUUGGCUGAAUUAAUGAGGUUGGACUCCCUUAAAUAUUGUACAUGAAUCCUUCCAUGCAUGAAAUAAAUACUCCUCUCCUUGCUAUUGGCUCAUGUAUUAGCCAAAUGGUCACUCCCUUCCCCCUUGGACGUACAUGCAUGUUCAGCAAUGAAGAGUCUCCAUGAAUGUUCUUUUUCAAUGAAUGCAACGAAUCUGGUGGCUGUCAAAAUACAUGUACAAUCGGUGCAUGUUCUCAUUAAAUAGCUUCAUUGAACCGACUAAAUACAUGUAUGUUCAGCUGCAUGAAUGUCCAGCUGCUGGCUGCCUUUAAAUGCCGUCCAUUGAACCCCUUGAUAGCAGCAAAUACAUCCAGCCUACAAGACAAGCAAUAGGGCCGGAUUAAAU